GUCUGAAUCUUGAUUGUGACAAUAAUUAAGUGAGAAAAUCAUUCAGAUAAAUUUUGAAUGAAGUGUUUUUUUUAGUGUAUUAAAAAUCUCUUUCCCUCCCUCUCCCCCCUCCUGCCUCAACUUGUCCUCUGACCUGGGCGAAAAUCCCUACCAACUCUGAAGUGUAAGUUCACGCUUACAGUCAGGUCCAUAAAUAUUGGGACAUCAGCAUAAUACUCAUCUCUCUGGCUGUAAACACCACCACAGUUGAUUUUAAAUGAAAUAAACAAGAUGUGCUUUGACUGCAGACAUUCAGCUUUAAUAUAUGGUUAUUUACAUCCACAUUAGGUGAAAAGUGUAGGAAUUAAAACAGUUUGUAUAUGUGCCUCUCACUUUUUAAGGGACCAAAAGUAUUGGGACAAACCAAAAAUCAUACAUCAAACUUUCACUUUUCAAUAUAUGGUUGCAAAUCCUUUGCUGUCCAGGACGCAUAGAUACACCAGACGCUGGAUUUCACCCCUAGUGUUGCUCUGCCAGGCCUGGACUGCAACUGUCUUCAGUUCCUGCUUGUUCUUGGUGCAUUUCCUCUUUAGUUUUAUCUUCAGCAAGUGAAAUGCAUGCUCAAACGGAUUCAGGUCAGGUGAUUGACUUGGCCAUUUCAUAACAUUCCACUUCUUUGCCCUACACCGUGCACCUGAUUUGGAUGUAAAUACCCUUAAAUUAAAGCUGAAUGUCUGCAGUCAAAGCACACCAUGUUUGUUUCAGUUCAAAUCCAUUGUGGUGGUGUUUACAGCCAGAGAGAUGAGAAUUGUGUUGACGUCCCAAUAUUUAUGGACCUGAUGGUAUAUAUAUAUAUAUACUUAUUGGGCAAUCACUUAAAUGUUACAUUUUUGCUCUGCAGUUUAUAAUUAUAUUUCACUGUUUUGUAUUUCACCUCAAUAACUUACAUAAGAAAGUAAAAAGUGAAGAGGUCCUUCAUUGUGUUUGUGCAUUUUCUCCCCAUUGUAACAAACAUCUUUUACAGGCCAAGGGAGCUGCAGUAACAUCCUUUUUACUAAUCAAGUGCCACAAAUUGUAGACUUUGAUAAGAAAUGAGAAAACUAAUGAUCCACAGUGAAAAGUUGUGAUUGCAGUAAACUAUAAGAUGCUGAUUUUUUGCAACUAAAUUUAUUUAUUUUUUGUCCCUGUCUUUUCUCUCCUGAACUCGACGCUAUCUCUACUGCUGGCCCUAUUCAGUGUUGGCGACUCAGCUGUAAGUUCACAAAUAAAGUAACUUAAAAAUGUUUACACUGUUACUUUUUUAAACAUAUCAUGUAAAAACCUGACAUUAUGUUCUUAUUUGACAAACUGCAACACAUUUUCAUUGUAACACAAACAAAUUUAAAUAACAAUUAAUUUUGCCGGCUGAUUACAGUUGAAACUGCAAUGCAGUGAGAUGUGCUGGUUUUCUACAAUUAAACUCAAAAUCUCUUGUCUCUAUUUUUCCAUUUUCCUUUUUGCCAACUCUGUCCUGUCUCCAAGUGCAGACCGCUUUGUGGCGACUCGACGUAAGUUCACACAGGAAUGACACUUUCAUGAAUAAGACAGUGUGCUACUAUUCAACACAUUAUGGACCCCUCAUCAUGUCCUAACUUAACAAUUUGUUUCCUUUGAUUAUGUAAUACUCACAGUUGGAAAUGAACAGCUUGAAUGUAAUAUGCAGUACACUUAUUUGCAUUUCAUUUCCAAUCCCUGGAAAGCAAUUUAUUACUAUUAAAUUGUGGAGUUGAAAUUUUUUAACGAUGAAAAUCCAAAUAAUUACUAAUUGAAUGUGAUUCCCUCCUUUUGUGCAUCUCUCAUAUUAAAAGAACAAGCUAACUUAAUGUUCUUUAAUAUGGAAUAGACAAUCAUUAUUUAUGCAGCCAUCGAUUUAUUUUAUUAUUCAUUUAAUCCUAUCUUUAGAUAUGUGUAUAUCCUUCUAAGGUACCUUGCAUGCUUCCGUUAACAGCUCAUGGAGGUGCUUGGCCUCAUUACUACUUUUUACAUUGUUGGAAUACUUCAAACACAGUAAAGGAAAUUACCUUCUCCAAAAUACAUGAUAUUUUAUCAGCAGAGUAAUCCAUUGUUACUUUUGCUUACCAGGACAUGGUUAUGAACAUUAUAAAGGGAACUUAAAGUAAAGAGUCUGAAAUACACAGGGAUAAUAGAACUUUUUGUAAAAUACUUUGAGGUCCUAAAUUUAAAAAGGUGGCUCUGUGGUUGGAUUCAAGUUGGACUCACUGGAGGAUGUGGUGGAGAGAUGUACUGUGAGGAAGGUGGAGGCUAUUCUAGAGAACAUGGAUCACCCACUUCACAACACCUUGGUGGACCGAAAGGCCUAUGGUGGUGGACGGCUCCUCUCUCUUCGCUGCAGGAAAAAAAGAUUCAGAAGAUCUUUUGUACCCACAGCCAUCAGACUCUACAAUUUGAAUAGUAGAUGACUUUUUGAGACAUGACAAAUGAGACUACAGAAAAUUGAAUUUCCCUUAGGGGAUAAAGUUAUUUGUAUCUUAAAUUAAUUUUUAAUUAACUAUUAUGAACACUUUGGAUUUUUAGUCCUUAUUAAUUUGUUUGAAGGGUUAUCGAACAAGACAAUGGUCACUUCCAGCUUUUGACUCAACUUGACUUUUGAUAGAUGUAUAAUUGAGGACAGCCACUUGGUGGGUUGAGUAAAAGUACAUUAUGAUGCCAUUAGCUUUGGGUGGAUGUUGGUUUAUUUUAUUUCUUUAAUAAAAAGGGAUUAAUGUUUGUUUCCAUUGUGUCUUACAGGUAUCCUGUCCAGUCUCCCCACUCUCCCCUAUCAUUUUGGUCACUCUGUCUUUCCUGUCUCCUCUACCACUCUGUCUGAUUGAAAAGCACUCUGUCUUGUGUCCCCCUUUCUUCUAUCCCUCUGGCUAAGUUUUGGACGCUCUGACUUUCCUGUCUCCUCUACCGCUCUGUCUGAUUGAAAAGCAACUCUGUCUUUCUAUCCCCCUUCUAUCCCACUCUGACUCAUUGCAGAACUUUUCAGAACUUUGCAGAACAUUUCAGAACUUUGCAGAACUUUUCAGAACUUUGCAGAACUUUUCAGAACUUUGCAGAACUUUUCAGAACUUUGCAGAACAUUUGAGAACCUAUUUUGAGAACCUAUUUUGAGAACCUAUUUUGAGAAACCUUUUGAAACAAGCAACCUUUCUUUGAGUCAAAACUUUUGAAACGGAAGUACAUUUAAUACAACUGCUAUUUUGAAAAAUCCCUAAUUUUGCACAAGUCUGAUUGUUGUUCUAGGUCCUCCUCUCCUGUCUGUGAAUCCAGAGUUUCGCCAGAAGACGUGUCGUCAGCUACACCACAUCUGCAUACCUGACUUUGAAAGAACAUAAAAACACGUUUUAUAUAGAAUAUUUGAGUUGCAUAGUAUUUCAAGCACAAAGUUCUAAGAUUAAAAAAUUGUUGAUUUGUGUUUCUUCUUAAAACAUUUACAUACUCUUGCCUAGGAUUUCCUUAGAAAACAUUUCAUAAACUAUUGUUGGUAUACACACAGUUAUAAAUUAGAUUUUUUUGGAGACUAUAAGAGCUGUAAAUAACGUCCUCUUGAAGAAAUAAAGCAUUUUUGUCUAUA
rnacentral:lncRNA from 1 species